rnacentral:rRNA from 1 species
AGUAAAUUGGUUAAGUUAGAAAGGGCGCACGGUGGAUGCCUUGGCACUAGGAGCCGAAGAAGGACGGGACUAACACCGAUAUGCUUUGGGGAG